CCUACGGGAGGCAGCAGUGGGGAAUAUUGGUCAAUGGAGGAAACUCUGAACCAGCCACGCCGCGUGAAUGAUGAAGGUCUUCGGAUUGUAAAGUUCUUUUCUAAGGGAAGAAGAUAGUGACGGUACCUUCGGAAUAAGCCUCGGCUAACUACGUGCCAGCAGCCGCGGUAAUCCGUAGGAGGCAAGCGUUAUACGGAAUGACUGGGCGUACAGGGUGCGUAGGUGGUUUGGCAAGUUAGUAGCGUAACCCCGUGGAUCAACCUCGGAACUACUACUAAACCUUGCGGACUUGAGUGCAGGAGGGGCAAUUGGAAAUGCUAGGGUAGCGGUGGAAUGCGUAGAUAUGAGGAGGAACACCAGUGGCGAAGGCGAAUUGCUGGACUGUAACUGACACUGAGGCACGAAAGCGUGGGGAGCAAACAGGAUUAGAUACCCGAGUAGUCC
rnacentral:rRNA from 1 species